rnacentral:hammerhead_ribozyme from 1 species
AUCCAGCUGACAUGUCCCGAAUAGGACGAAACGCGCGUCUUGGAU